rnacentral:lncRNA from 1 species
UUUGUUAGACAGACACGAAGCCCUUCAGGAAGUACAUGAAGAUGGAUGAGACCUACUGAAACUUCUUCCACAUUCUCUUUCCUCUGGAAGUCUUGCCAGUGUAUACCACUGCCUGAUCAUGGUACCCCCAGUGAAACAGCUUGAACAAGAAGAGCAAGACAGCAAGAAAACAAAAUCAUAUCCUCUUAAAGUCUUUCAACGCUGUUGUUUCAGGAAUUCUAAGAUCAUUGGCUAAUACUAAGAAUAAGGAUUAUAAAAAUAUUUUACGACUUCCAUCCAUUAGACCUUUUGGAAAGAAAGUGAAAAUUCCAUUUAAGAAAAAUGCUAUGACAAUACGUAAUGGAGAAGUCUGCAUCCUUUAUGUAAUGAGGCAUGAAGCUCUGUCACCAGAAAUGGAAACACACAGACAAGAUAUGUUGCUCAGGAAGAUCACAGUUUCUUUCAUUACUUGCAGAACUACCUUUGAAAUAACCACCAGAGGCUCACAUCCACUGCUGUCAAGCCAGAGCAUUCUAAAACAGAACAUAAAAUCUCCUACAACCCUUGCUGCCCACCAAGAUGAAACUUCAAGGGCAGCGCAUUUCUCUUUACCCAGGAUGACUACCAUGUCUCAGCCUGAGCAGUGCUCUCCUCUAAAUGGGAAAGUACAACAGUUCCUCAAGAAGGCUGCUUUCCCAUCCGUAGAAUUGCAAACUAGAAAUGAGAGAGAAGCACAACAGAAAGUGGACAAAGAACUAAGAAAGAAAUUGGGUAUUGUUAAAGAAAUAAGAAUCCAUCUCAAGAGGAUAAAUCCCAGUGAACUUAAAGAGGAUUCUGGCAAAGCUUCUCCAUUUAAAUGGAAGUUCCCCAAGAAGGCUGCUUCCCCAUCUGAAGAACUGCAAAGCAGAACUGAGAGAGUAGCACAACAGAAAGACGACAAUGAACUAAGAAGGAAAUUUGGUAUUGUUAAAGAUAUAAGAAUCCAUCUCAAGAGGUUAAAAUUUUAAUGCAAUUCCAUUGUUCAAGUUGCUUAUCUGUAGCAAAGUUAGCAAUCAAUAACAAAUUACUGUUUCUCUUAGAUCUAUUAUCCCUUGUUCAGUCUGUAGCAUUCAACUCACACCUUGUCAACUGAAUCUUAAACCAACGUCUACUACUCUUUCCAAAAUCUUUGAGAAAGGCCCACUUUUAUUGUCCCUGAGUGGGAACAACAUUGGUUUACACUCAGCAUUCAUGGAAAAUAGGCUGUAACUGUUUCAUGAAAUAUUUCAAGGCCAGAUAAAGCAAAACUUUCCAGAGUAUCUUAAAAGAGCAUAGGUAUGAAUUCCUUUUCUUUUUUCCUUUCUGCCAGUACCAAAAUAAAGGAUCUGGUGUUAAAAAGAAAGAAAGAAAG